rnacentral:rRNA from 1 species
AAGCUCGUAGUUGAAUUUCGGGGUUAGUAGGUUGGUCAUGCCUCUGGUAUGUACUGGUCUCACUGAUUCCUCCUUCCUUAUGAACCGUAAUGCCAUUAAUUUGGUGUUGCGGGGAAUUUGGACUGUUACUUUGAAAAAAUUAGAGUGUUUAAAGCAAGCUAACGCUUGAAUACAUUAGCAUGGAAUAGUGAAAUAGGACGUUCGAUCUUAUUUUGUUGGUUUCUAGGAUUGACGUAAUGAUUAAUAGGGAUAGUUGGG